AUGACUUCUUGACAAACACCAUCAUGCUGAACACCCCCCACCCUUCCUCCUUCUUUAUCCCAGCUUUUAUUUCUGAACAUGAUGUCAUAUGGUAUGGAAUAUCUCUCUGGUCAGCCUGGGUAAGCUGUCCUGGCUGUGUUCCCGCCUAGCUUUUUGUGCAACCCCACUGGCCGGGCAGCACAAGAAACAUAAAAGUCCUUGACUCUGUGUAAGCACUGCCCAGCUGCAACUAAAACUUUGUGUGUUAACACUAUUUUCAUCCUAAAUCCAACAAAGAGCAUCAUAUAAAUCAAAGAAGCUUAUAUGAAGAAAAUUAGCACUACCUCAUCCGAGACCAUGACAACCAGUUUUUAUACAAAGCUUCAGAAAGUAAAGUUCCAUACAAGUGAAAGGAUGGCACAAGACAUGGAUGACACAGUCUAUGCUCUUCAUGACUGACACACAUAGUGGUCAGGACAAAACAGUAAGUCAUCUUACACUCACAGUCUAAUAUAUAAUUCCAUGGAGUUAAACUGAGCUUGCAGAAUUUCAUACAAGUCAAAUACCUACUGUUUGCUAUUCUUAUUCAACAUCAUAUGCAAGAGGCUACUAAAAGUUUCUUAUACUUAUUUGAGAUAUAUCCC
rnacentral:lncRNA from 1 species